rnacentral:rRNA from 1 species
GACGAACGCUGGCGGCGUGCUUAACACAUGCAAGUCGAACGGAAAGGCCCUGCUUGCAGGGUUCUCGAGUGGCGAACGGGUGAGUAACACGUGGGUGAUCUGCCCUGCACUUCGGGAUAAGCCUGGGAAACUGGGUCUAAUACCGGAGAGGAGCCAUUUUUAGUGUGAUGGUUGGAAAGUUUUUUCGGUCUAGGAUGAGCUCGCGGCCUAUCAGCUUGUUGGUGGGGUAAUGGCCUACCAAGGCGGCGACGGGUAGCCGGCCUGAGAGGGUGGACGGCCACAUUGGGACUGAGAUGCGGCCCAGACUCCUACGGGAGGCAGCCGUGGGGCAUAUUGCACAAUGGGCGCAAGCCUGAUGCAGCGACGCCGCGUGGGGGAUGACGGCCUUCGGGUUGUAAACUCCUUUCGCUCGGGACGAAGCUUUUGUGACGGUACCUAGAUAAGAAGCACCGGCUAACUACGUG